GCGACAGUGGCUCAGUUGGUAGAGUACGACCUUGCCAAGGUCGGGGUCGCGGGUUCGAGCCCCGUCUGUCGCU
rfam:Lachnoclostridium sp. An118 An118_contig_2, whole genome shotgun sequence.